rnacentral:RNase_P_RNA from 1 species
GCGGAAGGAAGCUCACUGUAGAGGUCACGUGCUGAGUGCGUCACGCUUGUGAUGUCAUCUCUAUCCCACCUCCGGGAAGGUCUGAGACAGGAGCCCCUCGCCGCCCUCACAGGGCGUCACCUGAUAUUCGGGUGAGUGAGCCCCCAGCAACCCACGUUGGAGUGGACCGGUCCGUUAUGUGGGAGAGGCUAUGCAAAAGACGCCGAGCAGGGAUGUGGUGAGAUGGGCGGGUCACUGAUUUGAGGCCCGCCUACUCUUCAUCUGCGCCUCUGCCUGGUGGAUGCCGCCUCCUCCCCGGACCUUGGAAGUGACUCACGGCUGGCUUACUGAGUCCAAUGGCUGAGGCGAGGCAGCUGUGCGCCUCGUAACCCAAUUCAGACCACUCUCCGGAAUUCCG